UUUUUUAUGACCCUUAUUGCAAAUAUUUUUGUCUUUUUUUCGCAGCAGAUCAUUCAAUGAUAUUGCAUUUACUUUAUUCUCAUCAAAAGUCAAAACCUGUCUUUACUACGCACUUUUUAUUACGCAAAUAAUAUGCAAAUCAGAUCAAGAUCAGUAUCAAAGAUAAAGUGAUUGAGUCAACAAGCGACCAAACAAUGAAAUUAACAAACGUUUAAAAAGUUCAAUUAAUAUAUUGAAACACCAAUUAAUUAGUAUAAAUUUUAUAAAAAAAUUGUGCAAUUCUCCUUUUGAAAAAAAAUAAAGAAAGUGUUAAUAAAAUCUAUUUUCAAUAUAAUAUCAAUUUCCUACAUUUAAACAUCUUUGUCCAUGGUAAAGUCUCGAUUAGGACAAGGUUCUCAAAUCAAAAUCAUCAUUUUAUAUGAAGCUAAUUUCACCACCACCACAAUAAUUUUAUUCGAAAUCCUUGAAUAUUUGUGGAAAACUCCAGAAGGGCCAUUUACGGACUUAAGAAGUAUUCCACCUGAACACGUGGGGAAAUUUUUUUUAAGUGUGGAAACCUCACCCAGACUUAAAAAGCAAACCUAAACCAAACAACAACAACAAAAUCACCAUUAUCGUCUUCUUUUGCUGGGCCCUUCAAUCGAGAGAACGUUAAAAUGGAACAUCAGAAAAUUGAGUUGUGAGUAAUGAAAUAUUGAUCUUUAUUGUUUUUUUUUGUAAUUACAUAUAUUAUUACGUACUAUUAUUGCUUCUCUCCGUCCGUUUCCAAACCGUUCCCCUACAUUUAUUCACAAUUUGUAUAUUAAAUAUAAUAUUUAAAAGAGUCUGGAUUUAGUUUCCUAUCAUCACCCUAUGUGUAAUGUUCAAGAGUUAGACUUAAACCUGUUCUUAUUUUCUUUAUUUUGCUUUAUGCAUAUUUUGUUUACAUUCAAUAAAUUAUUUUGUUAGAUAUUGUAAAAUGCAA
rnacentral:lncRNA from 1 species